AGGCGUCCUCGCGUCUUUCUCCUCCUUGGGGGCAUCGUCUCGGAGCCGCCCACGACUAGGAGACUUGUGGAGUGUGGCAUCUUCGCCGUGGGUGGCAGUGUCUUCGCCGCAUAGUUUGCUGAGGUGGGGCACUAGUUUCUGUUUGGCAACGAUGAUGGCGUUGACAGAGGCUCGGUUCGUGGCAUAUGUACUUUGGUAGUCGGUUCUUUCCGGCAUGUCCAAGAUGGUCUUCCAUGAGUUGCUUGGUUGCUUUGAAGUCGGAGCUACUCUGGAGCGAGUCCAGACGGUGAUGAUGACGGGCGCUUGAUGGUCGUUUGUGAAGGGCACGGUCGGCGCAAGUCGUGCAUAUUUCCCUUUGUGAUACUCGUCGUCAAGGUCGGAACUGUCAGCUGCUCGCGCGUGUGGUCAUCCGAUGGCAUGUGCCAUCGUGGUUUCUUUGUAGCUGUUUGCGGGAUGGCUUUGAUGUUGGAGCUCGAUGGUGAAGUCGGGCUCGUUCAAGGCAACCAGUGAUGAUGAUGAUGUUUGCGACUUCACGACGGGUGUCUUUCUUCUUUGCAGCUUCGGGUCCCAUGUAGGUGGCCAGGUUGAUCGGUGGUGCCCGUGUCAUAUGGGUUGUGUAUUGUAUCGGUUUUAGCCCGGUUUUACGCCAAUUAACCGGGCAAUUUUCUUCUUUUUAA
rnacentral:lncRNA from 1 species